rnacentral:rRNA from 1 species
UACAGAGGGUGCGAGCGUUGUCCGGAAUCACUGGGCGUAAAGGGCGCGUAGGCGGCUUUGCAAGUGGCGGGUGAAAUCCCUCGGCUUAACCGAGGAACUGCCUGCCAGACUGUGAGGCUUGAGACCGGGAGAGGUGAGUGGAAUUCCCAGUGUAGCGGUGAAAUGCGUAGAUAUUCGGAAGAACACCAGUGGCGAAGGCGACUUACUGGACACAUAUUGACGCUGAGGAGCGAAAGCCAGGGGAGCAAACGGG